CAUGGAGGGUGAGAAUCCCGUCCGGUUGAUCAGAUUCGCUUUACGAUACGCUUUCUAAGAGUCAAGUUGUUUGGGAUUGCAGCUUAAAAUGGGAGGCAAAUUUCUCCUAAGGCUAAAUAACGGCGAGAGACCGAUAGCGAACAAGUACCGUGAGGGAAAGAUGAAAAGAACUUUGAAAAGAGAGUUAAACAGUACGUGAAAUUGUUGAAAGGGAAACGAUUGAAGCCAGUCGUACCUUCGGGUAAUCAGCCUUUUCGGGUGCGAUUCUGUGGGGUUUGAUGAGCUUAACACCUUCAUGCUCUGCAUAUUCGUGCUCUUGGGUGUACUUGCCCGUGUGGUUGGUUAACAUCAAUUUUGGUGGUCAUAAAAUGACUGGAGGAAUGUAGCUUCGAUCUUGUAUUGAAGUGUUAUAGCCUUCGGUAGAUGUGAUGAUCGAGAUUGAGGAUUGCAACGGAUACCCUUCGGGGCUACCUGUCUGAUCUCUGAUCGUUGCUCUGGUGCCGAAAGCUUGCUUACGGUUAUCAAAGUCGAUGGUCAAUAGGUUAGAAUGGGUUAAAUUCGUUAAGGAUGUUGACGUA
rnacentral:rRNA from 1 species